rnacentral:rRNA from 1 species
GAUGAACGCUAGCUACAGGCUUAACACAUGCAAGUCGAACGGCAGCACGGGAGCAAUCCUGGUGGCGAGUGGCGAACGGGUGAGUAAAGUAUCGGAACGUGCCCAGUCGUGGGGGAUAACGUAGCGAAAGUUACGCUAAUACCGCAUACGAUCUAUGGAUGAAAGCGGGGGAUCGCAAGACCUCGCGCGAUUGGAGCGGCCGAUAUCAGAUUAGGUAGUUGGUGGGGUAAAGGCUCACCAAGCCGACGAUCUGUAGCUGGUCUGAGAGGACGACCAGCCACACUGGGACUGAGACACGGCCCAGACUCCUACGGGAGGCAGCAGUGGGGAAUUUUGGACAAUGGGCGCAAGCCUGAUCCAGCCAUGCCGCGUGCAGGAUGAAGGCCUUCGGGUUGUAAACUGCUUUUGUACGGAACGAAAAGGUUUGACUUAAUACGUUGGACUCAUGACGGUACCGUAAGAAUGAGCACCGGCUAACUACGUGCCAGCCGCCGCAGUAA